rnacentral:lncRNA from 1 species
AAAAGGAGAUAUGCGUGGCUAGUGGAAAAAAGGAUUAAAAAAAAUAAACAGAACGCCUAUGUAAUGAGAAGGGAUAAUGCAUGCAAGUGGCUUAAGCUCUGCAAUGAUUUACAAGAUUGGAAAAAAAAAGUUGAUCGAGAUUGAUGCAGACGAACAUAUGCGUGGUGGAAACAAUGGCAAUACGCGUAUGACAUCGUAUGCGUGUACUGAUGAAAUUUCGUAGAGAAAUGGCAGGAAUAAAGUGGAUCGUAAUCCAAGAAAGCGAAGAGGAAAAUUAGGUGUUUGAUUUGAAACACCGUGGCCAUUCAUUCCUUGUCAAUUAUCGCGUAAAGAAUAGUGGUACAGAACUAUGUCGAGUCGAAUACAAGCAUCUAGUUGGGAAAAGAUGACGAGUAGAAUCGUCUUCUCCGAUUGCUUUGAUUCGGUGGGGAUCCUGUUAGAGCCGCAGGUCCGUGCACAGGUCGAUGUGGUCCCGGUCAAGCGGCGGCGGGAGGUUGAGGUCGAACGCCGCCACGCGGGACCGAACGGUAGAGGCGUCGUCGCCGUCGUCGUCCACCACGGAGGCCGACGAGGCGCAGUCGCUGUGGCAGCCGGCGUCGGGCGCCGGCCGUGCGGACCGUGGAACGCGCCU